GUGUCAGCCGCCGCGGUAAUACAGAGGGUGCAAGCGUUAAUCGGAAUUACUGGGCGUAAAGCGAGCGUAGGUGGCUUGAUAAGUCAGAUGUGAAAUCCCCGGGCUUAACCUGGGAACUGCAUCUGAUACUGUUGAGCUAGAGUAGGUGAGAGGAAGGUAGAAUUCCAGGUGUAGCGGUGAAAUGCGUAGAGAUCUGGAGGAAUACCGAUGGCGAAGGCAGCCUUCUGGCAUCAUACUGACACUGAGGCUCGAAAGCGUGGGUAGCAAACAGGAUUAGAUACCCUGGUAGUCCACGCCGUAAACGAUGUCUACUAGUCGUUGGGUCCCUUGAGGACUUAGUGACGCAGCUAAUGCAAUAAGCACUCCGCCUGGGGAGUACGACCGCAAGGUUGAAACUCAAAUAAAUUGGCGG
rnacentral:rRNA from 1 species